GACGAACGCUGGCGGCGUGCUUAACACAUGCAAGUCGAACGGACAGGCCCUGCUUUUGUUUGGUUCUCGUUUGGCGCACGGGUGAGUAACACGUGUGUAACCUGCCCUUGACUUUGGGAUAACUUCAGGAAACUGCGGCUAAUACCGGAUAUGAGCUCCUGCUGCAUGUUGGUGGUUGGUAAGUUUCGGCGGUUGGGGAUGGACUCGCUGCUUAUCAGCUUGUUUGUGAGGUAGUGGCUUACCAAGGGUUUGACGGGUAGCAGGCAUGAGAGGGUGGACGGCCACAUGGGGACUGAGAUACGGACCAGAAGGCUACGGGAGGCAGCAGUGGGGAAUAUUGCAGAAUGGGGGGAAGCCUGAUGCAGAAACGCCGCGUGCGGGAUGACGGGCUACGGGGUGUAAACAGAUUUGGAAGGAGACGAAGAGAGAGUGACGGUAAUGGGUAAAGAAGCAACGGCUAACUACGUG
rnacentral:rRNA from 1 species